UCCAGUGGGGUUUGAAACAUAAUGAAGUUUUAUAUUUCAAAUUCAAGAAAAUUUAGUAAUGUAACGCACAUGGACAUGGAACGAGAGUCAAGUACAUAAGGACAUGUGCUGGGUGUAUGUUUGGCCUUCUUCUUUACUUUGACACCGAAUGACAACGCGAAUGUUUUGCUGAUGGCAUUGCUGGUUUUGUUGCUGCCCCACUUUGUUUU